CCUACGGGUGGCUGCAGUGGGGAAUAUUGGGCAAUGGGCGCAAGCCUGACCCAGCAACGCCGCGUGAAUGAAGAAGGCUUUCGGGUUGUAAACUUCUUUUGUCAGGGACGAAGCAAGUGACGUUACCUGACGAAUAAGCCACGGCUAACUACGUGCCAGCCGCCGCGGUAAUACGUAGGUGGCAGGCUUUAUCCGAAUUUAUUGGGUGGAAAGGGCGUGAAGGCGGUAAUGCAAGUCAGAUGUGAAAACUAUGGGCUCAACCCAUAGCCUGCAUUUGAAACUGUAUUUCUUGAGUGAUGGAGAGGCAAUCGGAAUUCCGUGUGUAGCGGUGAAAUGCGUAGAUAUACGGAGGAACACCAGUGGCGAAGGCGGAUUGCUGGACAGUAACUGACGCUGAGGCGCGAAAGCGUGGGGAGCAAACAGGAUUAGAUACCCUUGUAGUC
rnacentral:rRNA from 1 species